rnacentral:rRNA from 1 species
AGCGAACGCUGGCGGCAGGCCUAACACAUGCAAGUCGAACGAAGUCUUCGGACUUAGUGGCGGACGGGUGAGUGACACGUGGGAACGUGCCUUUAGGUUCGGAAUAACACAGGGAAACUUGUGCUAAUACCGAAUGUGCCCUUCGGGGGAAAGAUUUAUCGCCUUUAGAGCGGCCCGCGUCUGAUUAGCUAGUUGGUGAGGGAAAGGCUCACCAAGGCUACGAUCAGUAGCUGGUCUGAGAGGAUGACCAGCCACAUUGGGACUGAGACACGGCCCAAACUCCUACGGGAGGCAGCAGUGGGGAAUCUUGCGCAAUGGGCGAAAGCCUGACGCAGCCAUGCCGCGUGGAUGAUGAAGGUCUUAGGAUUGUAAAAUCCUUUCACCGGUGAAGAUAAUGACUGUAGCCGGAGAAGAAGCCCCGGCUAACUUCGUGCCAGCAGCCGCGGUAAGAC